rnacentral:lncRNA from 1 species
GAGCUUCUCCCGUUCGUCCGUUGACGUCUGGUCGAGUUUUCUCCUUCUCCGUUGGUGUCGAUAAACGUCGAGCUUCUCCCGUUCAUCCGUUGACGUCUGGUCGAGUUUUCUCCUUCUCCGUUGGUGUCGAUAAACGUCGAGCUUCUCCCUUUCGUCCGUUGACGUCUGGUCGAGUCUUCCCAGUUCAUCCGUCGUUCGUUGAUGUCUGGUUACCUCUCCGUUGGUCUUGGUAAACGUCGAGUUUU